rnacentral:rRNA from 1 species
GACGAACGCUGGCGGCGUGCUUAACACAUGCAAGUCGAACGGAAAGGCCCUGCUUUUGUGGGGUUCUCGAGUGGCGAACGGGUGAGUAACACGUGAGUAACCUGCCCUUGACUUUGGGAUAACUUCAGGAAACUGGGGCUAAUACCGGAUAGGAGCUCCUGCUGCAUGGUGGGGGUUGGAAAGUUUCGGCGGUUGGGGAUGGACUCGCGGCUUAUCAGCUUGUUGGUGGGGUAGUGGCUUACCAAGGCUUUGACGGGUAGCCGGCCUGAGAGGGUGACCGGCCACAUUGGGACUGAGAGACGGCCCAGAAUCCUACGGGAGGCAGCAGGGGGGAAUAUUGCACAAUGGGCGGAAGCCUGAUGCAGAAACGCCGCGUGCGGGAUGACGGCCUUCGGGUUGUAAACCGCUUUCGCCUGUGACGAAGCGUGAGUGACGGUAAUGGGUAAAGAAGCACCGGCUAACUACGUG